GGGGCUGUAACGGUUUCGACGUUUUGGCGAACGCUACUUUGUGAUACAGGUCGAGAGGGAGUCCACUCUCGUGAAUCAAGGCUCAAAAACAAGUAGAUGCGAACAACAUCGUUUCUUUUGCUCGUAAGCCAGCUCUAGCUGUUGCCUAAAAACCUCUUAUAGGUUCGAGCGUCUACGGUUUGACUCCGUUAAGGACUGUAGACUAAACCCCAACGGAUGCUCCGGUUAGGUACCUCUGGUUGCCUACUGGCUAAGACUUCACCAGAGAAUCCUGUUAUCCGGGAUAAUGGAUAAUCCCCGCUUCGAGGGCUAGAGAAGCUAAACCUGUGAGUGAGCGAAGUAUUAAUACCCAGAGCGGACACGGGUUCGACUCCCGUCAGCUCCAUUA
rnacentral:tmRNA from 2 species